ensembl:snRNA U1 U1 spliceosomal RNA
ACACUUACCUGGCAGGAUCGCGAAGGUGGCUUUCCAGGGGGAGGCUCACCCGUUGCACUCUGGAUGUGCUGACCCCUGCGAUUCCCCUGAACGGGGGAAACUCGACUGCAUAAUUUGUGGUAGUGGGAACCAAAGAACUGUUGAAUGCCCACUCUGUUCCAG